AGGAAGUCCUGAGGUAGGCCAGUAAACAGAUGAAUCCUUCAACCCUUUAGGACUUAACUUAUAUUUAAGGAUCCCAGAUAAAUUUAGCAAGUUCAGUGUGAAUCUGCUUGAAAAAUGUCUUGGGUAUGGUUAUCUGGAAGGACGUGAAGAUAUAUAAUAAUCUAGGCUUCACGAAGCAUCAAUCCAUCUAAGCUGACUGCUUAGCUGCUCGUAGGGGGACCUUUUAUUAGAGCGGAUUCAAGGAUGUGCUCUCUUCACAAUUGCCUGUAUGCUGUGCAGCAGUGACUUUUAAUUCCCUUCGUGGGAAAGCUGAAGAGGCGGAAGUAGCGUUGAGCUUCCGGUUAGCUCCUCAUGGCUUAUUGAAGAGCAAAAAGAGUCAUGCCACUUUAAAUAGAGGCCUAGCAUGGCCCUACACAAAAAUAAAAUGCAAAAAUUUGCAGUUUCUUAGAUAACCCCUGAGUUAAUAUCUGAAGUUUGACCUAAAAUUAACACCAUAAUUCAUAUGCAGGCUAACAUCCUCAUAGUCUCAUAAUGUUGGUCUAUUUAACUCAUAUGCUUUUCUUAUCACAGCAACAACCUUUGUGGAAUAGUAAGACACAUUGGUAUGUGUUUGUGCCUUAUAUAUCUGUGCUCUUCUGUGAGAUCAGAGUUACCUGCAAGUCAAGUGAAUUAUCAGGUUGUGUGUGUCUUUAUACCAGACCUUCAUGGGCUGUUUUUUAGGUGGCAACAAUAACAGUGUGACUAAUUUCCGCCCCAUCGCUAUCCUGUCUCCAAUCUCUAAACUCCUAGAAAAGUGUAUCCAAAUUCAACUCCUACCA